ensembl:lncRNA
CUUUCCCUGGCACCAGGUUUCUCCCUAACCCUAAAAUGGUAUCCCCAUCAAGAUACGUCUUUCAUUACUCUCCCCAACCUUCCUGUCCCAAGCUGCCCAAUCGGAUCCCUCAUGUUCCCAUUCCUCAUCCCCUCCCCCUGCAAUUUACUCAGGAGAUCUCAUUUAUUUUCCCUUCCCAGGGAAAUCCAUGCAUCACUUUUUGUGUCCUCCUUGUUACCUAGGUUUUCUGGGCUUUGGAUUGUAGCCUAGUUAUCCUUUUCUUUGCAGCUAACAUCCAUCUAUGAAAAAUGAAAAGCUGUGGAUUCCUUCCAGAAUGGUUUGAUCAAGCAAGACCCACUGAGGCAGUGGCCCAACCGAUCCUGCAUCCAAAACAGCUGAGAUGAUGCAUGCAUAGAGCACUACAGCCAGGUUUUUGUGUUUUAUCAUGAUCCCCACCAUAUGGACAUCAAUCCCCAACCAGCAGGAAGUAGUUUGGAAUGAACAAUGCCCAAAUUCCCAAAUAUUAUUUAUAAAUGUUUGUUUACAUUUAAAUGGGCUUGGUUAUAAAUGGUAAUGAUCACAGUCAAUCUCUUUUUAAAGGGAAAAAGGGGAAUAGGAUAUAGAAAUGAUUACUUCGCAUUGGUAUGGAUUUUCAUUUAUUGAUUCAACUUUAAGGUCAAUUUUGUGAUAUGUAUUUUUCCUAUUGUUUAGGUAUUGUGUUAUACAGAUCUUUUAAAAUGUAAUGUAUAAUUAAAUACAGAUUGUAUAUAGUCAGGUAUAAUAGUCAAAACUUACAGUUAGGUUUUCUAGAUACACAGAGAUGUAUUUGAAAUGUAUAGAUAUUCUUCAAACCUUUCAAAGACCUACAGAAUAUGGCAUUUAAAUGGCUUAGGGUUUUUCAAGACAGUGAAACCUGACUGCUCCUGGCACACCAAUUACAUCAGAAAAGUAUAAAGGGAAGAUGGACAUCGAAGAAACUUGUUAUGGAAUUUGCCUUCAACAUAGCAAGAUUAUCCAUUUAGUCAAGAAACUGAUCUUGCCUGGACUGUUUGAAAAACUGGACAUGCAGGAACCACAGGAAAGUGACUGCUGAACUUGCAAAACAAGAAAGACCUGAAGGGUUCCUGCUUCAUGAACAAGUUUGCCAGACACACUGCAGCCUAUAGGCUGAAGAUGGAUGCCCCAACGUUACAGAGGAAAUUUGGGUGACUGUCCAGGCAGUAAAAUGUCUCUGUCCAUUCUAGAGUUUAUAUAUUAUCCUUCUGUGGUCUUUGAUGGAGUUGAAAACAGAUAGCUAUUGUUAUAGGUUUUUUUAGUUAUUAUAAAAGAUAAGUUACAUAUAAGACUUUAGACUCACAAAGAUAAAAUAGAUGAUAGAAUAUUUUCUUUAAAACUUGUUAAAUGUUAAUGGACUAAAUAUUGCAAUUAUAGUUCUUACUUGAUAUCUGUUUUGUUACAUAUUUUACUAUGUUAAUGUUAAAAAGCCUUCUUUUUAUUUAUACAGAAAAGAGGAGAUGAUGGGGGAAGUCCUCCUGUGUAUAUGUUUGUCUUAUUGGUUGAUAAAUAAAGCACUGUUGGCCAAUAGGAAAGCAAGAUAGGUGGGGUUAGGAGUCAAGGAGGAUUCUGAGAAACGUAGUAAAGACAGAAGUUUCCAUGUGAUCCACGGGAAGACAGGAUGCAUAAGGCCGGCAUCCUCGAUAAGAUAAGUCUUUAUAAAUAUAGAUUAGUAGUCGUGGUUGAUAAUUAGGCUGAGCUAGCAAGUAAGAAAUCAUAGUCAUUGGCCAGCAGCAUUGUACCUAAUAUUCAUCUCUGUAUGUUAUUUUGGCGUCCAUGUGGUAGCAGGGCUUGGGAGGCUGGCAGGAAUAUUUAUCAUUACACAUAGGCAUACCAAAGUAGUUGAGGGAAAGUUCAGCAGACUUCAACACUACACAGAGAACUACAGGAAAAUAAGUAAUGCUGAAGGUGUGAGAAAUAGUCUUUUGUAGUGAAGGGCUCUCCAAUUGUUUAUCCAAUACCAAAGGGUCAGCAUUGAAAAUAUACAGACAGGUAUAUUAUACAAAGAGAAUAGGUUAUAUUUAAGAAUAUAUAUUUAUACCUAGCUAUGAAACAAAAAUUGAUGAAAAAAGAGGCCAUGAGUUUGAAAAAAAAAAAACAAGGAGGAGUGUAUGGGAGGGUUUAAAGGGAGUAAAAGG